AUUGAACGCUGGCGGAAUGCUUUACACAUGCAAGUCGAACGGCAGCACGGACUUCGGUCUGGUGGCGAGUGGCGAACGGGUGAGUAACAUAUCGGAACGUAUCCAAUAAUGGGGGAUAACGAGUCGAAAGAUUCGCUAAUACCGCAUACGCCCUACGGGGGAAAGCUAGGGACCUUCGGGCCUGGCGUUGAUGGAGCGGCCGAUAUCUGAUUAGCUAGUUGGUGAGGUAAAGGCUCACCAAGGCGACGAUCAGUAGCCGGUCUGAGAGGACGACCAGCCACAUUGGAACUGAGACACGGUCCAGACUCCUACGGGAGGCAGCAGUGGGGAAUUUUGGACAAUGGGCGCAAGCCUGAUCCAGCCAUUCCGCGUGAGUGAAGAAGGCCUUCGGGUUGUAAAGCUCUUUCGCAAGGGAAGAAAACUUAUCCUCUAACAUAGGAUGAGGUUGACGGUACCUUGAUAAGAAGCACCGGCUAACUACGUGCCAGCCGCCGCAGUAA
rnacentral:rRNA from 1 species